GAAAUCUGUGAUUUUUCUGGUCUGUGUCCUGUGGAGCGGGGGUGAUGGGGCUUCUGAAUUAGUGACAACACAUUGCUACCUCCAUGGCUGGGCACAAUCACGGGGCCUGCUGAGGAGGAGAGCAACAGCCCCUGAGGGCCAGAAACUGGCCUGGCAUCAUGAGGCCACCCUUUUGCUGGGAGCUGGCCUGGCACCCACACCAGACCUGGGUGUUUCCUGUUGAACAUAAAUGUCAGCAUCAGACAGGCCACUUCAUGACCGUGAUGGACUGAGAUAAAAACAAGCCUACUUCAUAACCACAUCUGAACUCCAGCAUAAGCAAGAACAUUACCAAACACAAAACCAGCCAACCGUUCCCCUCCCUUCGCAUCUUGGCUAAUGUGCGAGACACCUAUGUCUCUACCAGUU